rnacentral:lncRNA from 1 species
CAUGUUGAGGAACUCUACUGGGCACCAGAAGGAGCUAAGAUGGAGCGUUCUGAUUGCCAGACAUUGUUCCCAGCCCACAAAUGUGGAAAGCCCUGGGCCUGGACCUGUCUCGCCUUGAGUGACAAGAUCUGACUCUUCUCAGAGGAGCAGGUGAGGACUCAGGUAAAUUAGGAGGCCCUUGCUAUGCAGACUCCAGGAGCUAGCUCUGUGGGGAGGGUCAACUCUGUGAGG